UACAGAGGCCUCGAGCGUUAGGCGGAAUCACUGGGCUUAAAGCGUGUGUAGGUGGAUGCCUAAGUACCUUGUGAAAUCCCACAGCUUAACUGUGGAAUUGCUUGGUAUACUGGGUGUCUUGAGCCACUCAGGGGCUACUGGAGCAAACGGUGGAGCGGUGAAAUGCGUAGAUAUCGUUUGGAACGCCAAUGGUGAAAACAAGUAGCUGGGGGUGUGCUGACACUGAGACACGAAAGCCAGGGGAGCGAACGGG
rnacentral:rRNA from 1 species